UCGGAGGAAAAGAAACCAACUGGGAUUACCUUAGUAACGGCGAGUGAAGCGGUAAAAGCUCAAAUUUGAAAUCUGGUACUUUCAGUGCCCGAGUUGUAAUUUGUAGAAUUUGUCUUUGAUUAGGUCCUUGUCUAUGUUCCUUGGAACAGGACGUCAUAGAGGGUGAGAAUCCCGUUUGGCGAGGAUACCUUUUCUCUGUAAGACUUUUUCGAAGAGUCGAGUUGUUUGGGAAUGCAGCUCAAAGUGGGUGGUAAAUUCCAUCUAAAGCUAAAUAUUGGCGAGAGACCGAUAGCGAACAAGUACAGUGAUGGAAAGAUGAAAAGAACUUUGAAAAGAGAGUGAAAAAGUACGUGAAAUUGUUGAAAGGGAAGGGCAUUUGAUCAGACAUGGUGUUUUUUGCAUGCACUCGCCUCUCGUGGGCUUGGGCCUCUCAAAAAUUUCACUGGGCCAACAUCAAUUCUGGCAGCAGGAUAAAUCAUUAAGAAUGUAGCUACUUCGGUAGUGUUAUAGCUUUUUGGAAUACUGUUAGCCGGGAUUGAGGACUGCGCUUCGGCAAGGAUGUUGGCAUAAUGGUUAAAUGCCGCCCGUCUUG
rnacentral:rRNA from 1 species